CAGAUCUUCAGCGCCUCCCGGAAGACGCGGCGGACUUUUUCCUCGCCGAUCUGCCACGGGAACCGGACGAUCCUGCAGGACAUUCCUGUGGCGGCGGAAAGAAGAUGAAGCCUGCACCCAUUGCGUGUAAAUAAAGCAUGAACCCAGGUGACCUCUGGCAGGCCCCGCCACAACAAAAAAGGGCCAAAGGGGAGACGGCAGGAAGAAGGGAAGAUCAAAACAGAGCCGUGUGCCGCUGAUGAUGAUGAUGAUGGUGAUCUAUAAUUAUCCUUUUAGGAUGUCAGGCAUCAGCAUUCUCCGUGGUGGAAUCAUGUCAGCAAACAUAAAUUGUAGUCCUUUUUUUAUACGACUAUGAAAUUAAAAAAACUGCAGCUGUUGCAGAAAUCUCUUAAGCAAAAGUUUCGUUUCUAAAAGGGAUUUGCAAUGUCAUCGUGUCUUUGUUCAACAUUUUAUUUCUUUUUCAUUACAAAUUCCACAUGCAGAAGAUGCAGCUGGCUAGUUAGCUAACGUAACCAAAUGUAGCAUUUAACUAAGCAUGGUGGAAAUAACGAGCUAGCUAACUAGUGGGCAGCUGGCUAGUUAGCUAACGUAACCAAGUGUAGCAUUUAAGCAUGGUGGAAUUAAUGAGCUAGCUAACUAGUGGGCAGUUGGUUAGUGUGAUCAUUUAAAAGCUACACUGGUUACGUGUGCGUAGGGCACCAAGUCCUGAGGGGGCACCACAAAAUAGGCAACUAAAAAAAUCCUCAUAGAUAUAAUAAUUAUAAUGCCGAUAUUAUUUCAGUCUAGAAAUAUUAGGCACCUGUUGGCCUCGACCUGCAUUCCAGGUGGAGGUAAGAGAGUUUCUUUAACUGUGAGGUCUCCACGACAAACCAAGCAAGCUUUUACUGACCUCUACUGGUGACGACGAGGACAGCUUGAUACACACACACGCACACACUCACACACACACAAGCACACACAAGCACACA